UUGCUACCUUUGACUUUGAUCUAUAUCUUUAUUCCAUAGGUUGGACUCAAGGUAGAUUAUCAUGGUCACCAACUACCAGAUGUGAUGCUGUGUCAGUCUGCUGGCAAGAGAUGGAUAAGCAAGUUCGUUAAGCAGGAUUUUGUCAGCCUGGUAUUCUUUCCACUUCUCACUCUCGAGGCUUCUACCAGACUACGAUAAUUAGGUACAUAUAUAUAUUCCUUGCUUAGCAAGACUGUUAUCCUUCUAAUUUUGAGUUAGCUAUGUUACGGACAAUGUUUAACGGAAUACAGAUGUAAAACUAUCAAGGGGUGAUUAGAAGCACUGUAAGAUAAGGGGAUUAGGCGAAAUGGAUGUACUGGCUUGUUCAUUUUAAAUUUUCAUACUUGACCUUAAUUGCCAUUCUCCACAUGUAUUACAGUGUUUUGUUUGUGCAAAAAAUGCAAUGUGCUGAACAUGUAAUGCCAAUAUUGUUGGACAUUUGAAUAUCCAUUAUUUUCGUUUUGUUCUUCCUUCUCUGUUUACUGGCAGCGGGGUGAAAUUAACCCUGGAAAAUGUAAGACCAUCUCCAACUAACUUACCGAUUGUUGUCCAUGUGUGUUCUUUUGUUCCACUACAUCUGCGUUUCAUGUGUUUCAUAAUUUCCCUGCUUCUAAAAUCUUUACAGAUCAAGAAAUUCUGCCCAUGCGGCAACUUAAAAUCGAACAUGUUAUCUGGAUUUCAAUUAAAUGUAACCAUCUCACAAGGGUUGAUGUUGUAGAGGGGACCUGUACCGAUAGCAGUUCGAAUUAAAUCAGGUGCUACCGUUGGCCAUGUGGCUUCCAACCAAAUUAAACUGAAAGCUUUCUCCUAGGUGAGUCCCUCUUCUUUCUUCAUACCUUACCAAUUACUAGAGUUUUGAUCUGCUCGUACAGUUCUCACAAUCCUAUUCCUUUUAAUGUUCUUAUUUUAUCAUGGCGUGCAGGCGGGACAUGCGGUUUUGCCAAUCUGGAGAAACACAUGUACGGGAUGGCGACGGUGGGGUGAGCGCUAUCAGGUCAGGUGUGUCGAGGACCUCACCCCCUCCUAUGCACCUCCAUCCUCGUCAAGGCCGCCAACUUCUGUGCCUCAUCCUAUGGGUUACCGCCAAUGCCGACAACAUCUGCAACCCAACCAGCCACCAUUUCCUCCUUAUCGAGAUCUUCGAGAAGAUUGCGCUCUGGAAGACUGGCGUCAUGCCCAUCCAUUACCUACGCAUCUGGACAGGCUCCACUGGAAUGCCCUCCAGCUGAAGUACUUUAUGGCCAUUCCAAGCAGUUCGUUCACUGCGCGCACCCCAAAGCACAUGCCAUCGCCGACGUUGCCAUGUCAAGGGUGAGCGAGGUCCACACAUUUGCUCUUCAAUUUGUUGGAAAUUGUGUAUCAAUGCAAGUGACAACGCAGUGUUUCAUCCGUUUAGGUAUUUUGCUUGUGUCGGGGGAAG